rnacentral:rRNA from 1 species
CCUACGGGAGGCAGCAGUGGGGAAUCUUAGACAAUGGGGGAAACCCUGAUCUAGCCAUGCCGCGUGAGUGAUGAAGGCCCUAGGGUCGUAAAGCUCUUUCGCCAGGGAUGAUAAUGACAGUACCU